rnacentral:rRNA from 1 species
CACGCCGUAAACGAUGAGUGCUAGGUGUUGGGGGUCGAACCUCAGUGCCGCAGUUAACACAUUAAGCACUCCGCCUGGGGAGUACGACCGCAAGGUUGAAACUCAAAGGAAUUGACGGGGGCCCGCACAAGCAGCGGAGCAUGUGGUUUAAUUCGAAGCAACGCGAAGAACCUUACCAGGACUUGACAUCGCUUGACAAUCCAAGAGAUUGGACUUUUCCUUCGGGAACAAGUAGACAGGUGG